AUGCCAUGAUGUGGCCAUUGUCUUUGAAUAUCCCUAUAUAUCUCCCAUAUUUCAUGUAAAGAUUCAUCUUUCCUUUGAGAGAAUGUAGCAAGGUAACUGUGGAGCUU